UAACUUCGGGAAACCGGAGCUAAUACCGGAUAAUAUUUUGAACCGCAUGGUUCAAAAGUGAAAGACGGUCUUGCUGUCACUUAUAGAUGGAUCCGCGCUGCAUUAGCUAGUUGGUAAGGUAACGGCUUACCAAGGCAACGAUGCAUAGCCGACCUGAGAGGGUGAUCGGCCACACUGGAACUGAGACACGGUCCAGACUCCUACGGGAGGCAGCAGUA
rnacentral:rRNA from 1 species